GUAGCUCAGUUGGAUAGAGUACCUGGCUACGAACCAGGGGGUCGGGAGUUCGAAUCUC
rnacentral:tRNA from 1 species